GAUGAACGCUGGCGGCGUGCCUAAUACAUGCAAGUCGAGCGAAUGGAUUAAGAGCUUGCUCUUAUGAAGUUAGCGGCGGACGGGUGAGUAACACGUGGGUAACCUGCCCAUAAGACUGGGAUAACUCCGGGAAACCGGGCCUAAUACCGGAUAACAUUUUGAACCGCAUGGUUCGAAAUUGAAAGGCGGCUUCGGCUGUCACUUAUGGAUGGACCCGCGUCGCAUUAGCUAGUUGGCGAGGUAACGGCUCACCAAGGCAACGAUGCGUAGCCGACCUGAGAGGGUGAUCGGCCACACUGGGACUGAGACACGGCCCAGACUCCUACGGGAGGCAGCAGUAGGGAAUCUUCCGCAAUGGACGAAAGUCUGACGGAGCAACGCCGCGUGAGUGAUGAAGGCUUUCGGGUCGUAAAACUCUGUUGUUAGGGAAGAACAAGUGCUAGUUGAAUAAGCUGGCACCUUGACGGUACCUAACCAGAAAGCCACGGCUAACUACGUGCCAGCAGCCGCCGUAA
rnacentral:rRNA from 1 species